GAGGGUAUAGCUCAGUGAUAAAGCAUGCGCUUAGCAUGCAUGAAGUCCUGGAUUAGCAUACAUAAGGUCCUGGGUUCAAUCCCCAGUACCUCCA
rfam:Camelus ferus unplaced genomic scaffold scaffold165, whole genome shotgun sequence.